GGAGAGAUGUCCGAGAUGGCCUAAGGAGCACGAUUGGAAAUCGUGUAUACCUCCAAAGGGUAUCGUGGGUUCGAAUCCCACUCUCUCCGCCA
rnacentral:tRNA from 1 species